GACGAACGCUGGCGGCGUGCCUAAUACAUGCAAGUAGAACGCUGAAGGAGGAGCUUGCUUCUCCGGAUGAGUUGCGAACGGGUGAGUAACGCGUAGGUAACCUGCCUGGUAGCGGGGGAUAACUAUUGGAAACGAUAGCUAAUACCGCAUAAGAGUAGAUGUCGCAUGACAUUUGCUUAAAAGGUGCAACUGCACCACUACCAGAUGGACCUGCGUUGUAUUAGCUAGUUGGUGAGGUAACGGCUCACCAAGGCAACGAUACAUAGCCGACCUGAGAGGGUGAUCGGCCACACUGGGACUGAGACACGGCCCAGACUCCUACGGGAGGCAGCAGUAGGGAAUCUUCGGCAAUGGACGGAAGUCUGACCGAGCAACGCCGCGUGAGUGAAGAAGGUUUUCGGAUCAUAAAGCUCUGUUGUAAGAGAAGAACGAGUGUGAGAGUGGAAAGUUCACACUGUGACGGUAUCUUACCAGAAAGGGACGGCUAACUACGUG
rnacentral:rRNA from 1 species